rnacentral:rRNA from 1 species
AUUGAACGCUGGCGGCAGGCCUAACACAUGCAAGUCGAGCGGAGCGGCGGACGGGUGCGUAAUGGUUAGGAAUCUGCCUGGUAGUGGGGGAUAACGUCCGGAAACGGGCGCUAAUACCGCAUACUAUCCCAUGAGCCUAGGUCGGAUUCGCUAGUUGGGGGGGUAAAGGCCUACCAGGGCGACGAUCGGUAACUGGUCCGAGAGGAGGAUCAGUCACACUGGAACUGAGAAACGGCCCAGACUCCUACGGGAGGCAGCAGUGGGGAAUAUUGGAAAAUGGGGGAAAGCCUGAGGCAGCCAGGCCGCGUGGGGGAAGAAGGUCUUCGGAUUGUAAAGCACGUUAAGUUGGGAGGCGUUACCGACAGAAUAAGCACCGGCUAACUACGUGCCAGCAGCCGCGGUAAUAC